AAUCAACGCUGGCGGCGUGCCUCAGACAUGCAAGUCGAACGCGAAAGUUUCCUUCGGGAGACAAGUAGAGUGGCGCACGGGUGAGUAACACGUAGGUAAUCUACCUUUGGAUGGGGAAUAACAACCGGAAACGGUUGCUAAUACCGCAUAAUGCAGCGGCACCUAAUGGUGACAGUUGUUAAAGCGGGGGAUCGAAAGACCUCGCGUCUGAAGAGGAGCCUGCGGCGGAUUAGCAGUUGGUAAGGUAAUGGCUCACCAAGGCUACGAUCCGUAACCGGCCUGAGAGGGCGGUCGGUCACACUGACACUGACAUACGGGUCAGACUCCUACGGAGGCAGCAGUCGGGAAUUUUGGGCAAUGGGCGAAAGCCUGACCCAGCAACGCCGCGUGAAGGAUGAAAUCCCUCGGGA
rnacentral:rRNA from 1 species